rnacentral:rRNA from 1 species
UACGUAGGGUGCGAGCGUUGUCCGGAAUUAUUGGGCGUAAAGGGCUCGUAGGCGGUUUGUCGCGUCGGGAGUGAAAACUCAGGGCUUAACUCUGAGCCUGCUUCCGAUACGGGCAGACUAGAGGUAUGCAGGGGAGAACGGAAUUCCUGGUGUAGCGGUGAAAUGCGCAGAUAUCAGGAGGAACACCGGUGGCGAAGGCGGUUCUCUGGGCAUGACCUGACGCUGAGGCGCGAAAGCCAGGGGAGCGAACGGG